ACAAUUCUCUUGGCAUCAAAACCUUACUUAUCUUAUACACUACAAAAGGAUCUUGAUCUAUUAAUGUACCAACAAUAUUUGCAGUGUUAACUUUGGUUUCAAGGUUAACAUCUUCACCAUCAUUUUGGACUGUGAAAUCAUAUUUGUUAUGGCCUUCUGUUGCUAAUGUGUUCAUUACACCAUUGUUUGAUUUCAACAUCUGUAAUGAUUGGUAAACUGGAACUCCGUGGUAUAAAAGGAGGGAAACCUUUUGAGAGUCUGUUAGGUUUUUGUACUUUGCAGAGAAACCGCUGACGGCGGUAUCUGUUGGACAGAAAACAGUUAAACCGCCGUCAACGGAUUCUUUGAAAGUAGGGAGUGCUUUUGAAACACGUAACAAAUCUGCGAAAGACUGACAACCUUGUUUUGACAUAAUUCCGAUUAAAUCAAUGUCACUUGGAGCUGCCGUCGGCGCUUCUGCGUCGGCGGAGCUUAAAGGAUUACUGAUUUGGAGAACGGAGAUGACAUAUGGAAGUUCUUCUACGGAUUUUACGUAGUAGGAAUGCAGACCGUCGUUGUCUUCGGCACCAAAACCGACUUUGCCACCUUUUAGGUUUGUGAUAUUCACGUAACCGGCGGUUCCAGCGGCGGAUCCAGUGGCUUGGAACAUGGAGGAGACAAGUGUGGUGCCGUCGGUGAUUUGGUGGAGUUUCUUGGCGCCGAAGUAGUCGACUAAAACAUGGAGGGAGAGGACAUUUUUGAGGGUGGUGAUGGAGAGGUGUUUGUCUAGGAGGGAGGACAUGGCGGCAUUGUCUAUGGCUAGGAUGGUUAUGGUUUGACGGCGGUUGAUUUCGUCGGCGAGGUGGGUUAUGGUGAGGUAGUGGUUGAAGGUGGAGAAGCCAGGGUGUUUGGCUAGAAUGCGGGUGAUGUUAUGGUUGCCGGAGGUGGCGGCAGCGGCGGUGGUGGAAUGAAUGAGUGAUAGUAUAAGUGUGAGGGAAAAUAGAACAAGUGGUGCUAGUUGUUGCUUCUUCAUUUUGGAAGAUAGUGGAAAGUGAAAGAAGCAACUAACUUAUGAAGGAGGGAAGAUGAGAGUGGUAUUAAUGUGUAUAUAUGUAUAUGUAUAUCUUUAUAUGACUAUACCUAUAUUAUUAUUUUUAUUCUUAUAUGCUAAUCAUGUCAUGUUAGAGAGAUUAAUCACUUGCAUGUUUGUGUCUAUGCUAAUGAUAUUAAAUAGGUGAAUGGUAUAUAGAUUUUGAUUUGGUGCAUUCAUUAAAUUGAUGGAGUAGAAUAUUAAUACUCGUUCGAUCAAGAUUGAAUGGUAUGAAUUAAAACUCUGUAUAUUUUGAGUUAUACAAAUAAAUUAUUAGAUUAAGAUCGGACGGUCAUCGAUGUUUUAGGAUAUUGAUUAGUGAAUGAAAUUGAAUUUGAUAGUAUAUGGUUUGUGUAGUGACAAAUAAUGCCAGGUUGGUAUUUGGUGGUAAAGGGACCCAUAAAGAUUGGAUGAUUCUCAUUAUUUGGGCAUAUUUUAAAGAGCAACAAGAUGCAGCUUUCACUCUUUCAUUGCAGAGAAUGGGUCAUAUGGGGCAUCCACCGACACUCUUUGACCCUACACUGUUCUAUAGUGCAGUACCGUUGGUGUUUGAUUAGAUUAACAUGUUUUAUUUUCUGUAUCUUAUGGGUGAAUUUAAUUUAAUUAAUUUAGGAGAGGACAAAUUUAAUUAACUGUUUCACGGACAAUUAUCAAGGUGCCUUUAAAGCAUAAUAAAUGUGAGUUUGAUUUUUGUUUUUUUGGGUAAGGGGGUUGAAAUCUGCACGAAGGCUAAAGCAACAUACCAAAUUCGUAAGUUUAACCGUAGGAUUUUUUGCUGUCAAAAGUUGAGAUCGAGGCAGUCAGUCACACAGUCAGUACAAUUGGAGUGACGAAUUAAAUUUUACUGCAAAUUUUGAUUUUGAUUUUUAAAAAGAUACCAAGUUAUAAAAUAUGAAAAGUCUGAUCUUAAUAAAAAAAAUUACAAUUAGUUGACUAUGUGAAUGCAACAAAUGAUAACCGCAAUCAAUCUCACUGUGUUGAGAAUUGUUGUUUACAUAUUUGAUAAGGCUGUGUCACACGAGUAAAUGACGUUUUUACCCCUUCAACAGUUAACUGCCGAAAUUUUAGAAAUCCGGCUGCAGUUAACUGCCAAAAAAAAAAAAAAAAAAAAACCUCGGCACUUAAGUGCCGAAGAACUAUCAAUUUUUUUUGAAAAUAUUAUGCUAUGCUUAGAGUAUACUGACUUUUAACAAAUAGUCCAUCAACAUCACAAACAGAAAAACUAAAAUUAAACAUUUAUUAAAAUUGAUGAGUUAUCAUUAUCAUCUUUACAUCAACUAUUAGUGUAACAGAAUACUUGCUAACUUCUCACCAAAAAAAAAAAAAAAUACUUGCUAACUAUCAAAUAACAUUAACUUAACUCUCUUCCGCACAAAGAAAGACCUCAUUGGAAAUUUGAUGAUAUUUAGAAAUUGGAUCAAAAGUACAACAUUGUACUAUCCAGGGAUCUUAGCUGUAGGAUAAACAUUAUGCUAUGCCAAGUCAAAUUUAGGAUAAAUUAAUAUGAUGAUUCUUGUUGUGUAUUUUUAUGUCUGUUAUGACUGUAGGAUAAGCGUAGCCUAAUAUUUUCAAAAAAAAUUGACGAGUUCUUCGGCACUUAAGUGCCGAGGUUUUUUUUUUUUUUUUUUUUUUUUUUUCCUCGGCAGUUAACUGCAGCCGGAUUUCUAAAACUUCGGCAGUUAACUGUCGAUGGGGUAAAAACGUCAUUUACUCGUGUGGCAUAACCUUAUCAAAUGUGUAAACAGCAAUUCUCCACUAUGUUUGAUUGUAGAAUUUGUAUUUGGUACAUUUGCUAUGUCAUACAACUUCUAAUAUUCAUUGUGUGAUCUUGAAUUAAAGGUAGAGAAUGUUGAAAGUUGAUUUUAUUAUUUGUAAAUUGUAAUUUUAGCUAUUCGAUCACAAAUAAGGACAUGACCAAGUACUUGCACAAGGGGUUGUUGCCACCUCUACACCCCAUAGACACAUAAGAAGAGAAUCCAUUUUCGAUGAGAAUCUUGAACUGACAAUUUAGAAUACAUAAGUUUUAUGCCCCUUGAAGGUUAUUAUUGGUUUAGUAAUUCAGUUUAGUUAGAAUUAGUUUUGUCUUUUGUUUUAGAAACUUGCAAUUAAAGUAACUAAAUCAAGUUAGUUGCAUGUGAAGUAAUAAGUUUGUUAAGAGUUUGUUUUGGUUUGUUUCACUAGUUUGUUACAUCACUUGAUGUAUAUAUAGGUUCAUAUACCUUGUAAAUACUAAUUCCAAUUCAUUCAAUAAAUUUCACAAGUCUUUUACUCAUAUCUCUCUCUCUCUCUCUCUCUCAAACCAAUAGAAACCCUAGAAUCUCAAUUCAAUCUUCUUCAAUUGAACACAGUUUUAAGUGUUGGUUUCAUUCAAUUUUCAUACAUUGUUCCAUCAGUUCUCAUAAUUGAGAACAAAGUUAUUGGGAAAACUUCCAUUCACCCUACCCAAAUGUUGCAUAAACAUAGUCACAAUUAUUGGGAAAACUUCCAUUAACCCUGCCCAAAUGUUGCAACAUGUAUCACUUACUAGUCCCUUUCGAGAGGACGUUCUCAUAAUAAUUGGUAGUAACAAACAUUUGAUAUUUUAUUUUAGGGAAAUGUUAAAGAGUGUCUUUAUAAAGUAUUAUAAAGAGCUACCAUAUUUGGUUUCUUUAACAAGUAUCUUUAUGAUACUUGUUAGCAAGACCUUUUAUUUUAAUAUUCCCUCCAUUACACCAAAAUUUAUCUAUAUGCAAAAACGAGUAUAAUUGAAACUCUCGACUAUUUGUUUUAGGUGUCCUAAAUGUCUCUAAUAUCAAAUCAGCCAUUUCAACCUUGAAUCGAAAUCUACUUUAGAUAUAGAUUGACUAAAGAGCAAUGAUAUAUGUCCUAAAUGGGAGCAUUGUGAAUUCAUCACGAGAAAGAAAGGAACCUAUCGAUCACGUUGCUCUAUUUACCGCAAUACAAGGAAGUGAUGUGGAAAUCUUGAAAUCAAGUAAAUAACCUUUCAAUGAAAACACGCUACCUGUGCCAGGAAACAAUCAUAAGAUGACUCUCGCUAUCAAUAGCAUUUUCCUUGACUAAAACUUUAAUCGGGUUAAACCAUAAUUAGUUAAUCGGUUUGAAUUUUUGUAUUUAUUUUUUUUUCUUUUUAUUUAUUUAUACGGUUCAACAGUAAUUGAACCCGAUAAAGCAAAUGAACUAUGAUGUACAUGUCUUAUUGAUUCAAUAGCUAAUAGCCGAACAUGUUUUUUAAAAAUACAUGUUAUUUACCGUGAGGUUUUUCUUAUCUAGAAUGCAUCAAGAGUCACCAUUAACCAACACAAUGUCAUUGUGGCAGGAAAACACAUCCGUAAUAGGUGUAAUUGUAGUCGGGACGUCCAAUGUAUUUGGAAGCUUAAAACGAAUUUUAAAUCGAAGUUUUUUAAGUGUAUCGAUGACAAUAGAUAAAAACUUAAAAAUUAAGAAAUUUUAAUAGCUUUAUUUGAUUGAAAGUAAUUCUAUUCAAAACGUGCAGUAAAUUACAUGUAUGAUAUCUCUCUCAAUCAAAAGUAAUAGGUUUGUCAAGUUGUAAGUCUAACUCUUUUUGCUAGACUCAAUUCCACUAGUUCAAGAACCAGUUUUUUUAAUAAUAAAAAUUACUUUAAUUACUUUAAUUAUUUAUCUAUUGUUAGAUCUGAAAAUAGCAAAUUAAUAUUGAAUUCUGAAACAAAUAAAAAUUACUUUUAUACUAUGCAAACUUUGAUUUUGCAUAUUACUUGUCUUACUAUAUUUUCAACAAAAAUAUCAGAUUAAUAUAAAUGUGAAGAAAAUAAGAGUUUAAGAUACGCAAAACCAGUUAACCAACAAGCCUUGGAAUCGACUUGCAACAUCCACUACAAUUCUCCAUUUAACAUCCACAAGAGCUAAGCUAGGAACAAACAUGUUUAAAUAAUAGGACUUUGGAAAAAAUGUUUAAAGCUAAAAAGAUCUGGGGUCUAAUACAAGAGCUAACAUUUUUGAGGGCUAAAGUCUUUAUUUUAGUGACAACCCUUUGGAUAGCAUGUGAAUUGUGGUUAAACUUUCAACUAUGAAGCAAUAACAACCUUCGAUCAUGUAAUGAUUUUUGCCCACUAUAUGUGACACAGACGGAAUCAAAGUCUAGCAAGCGCUCUAAAUCUGUUAAAAGUGUUUCCAAAAUUUACCAGAAAAUUGAGAAAAGUUCUAUGUAAUUUUAUUGAAUGAAAAAUUACUUCUUAGGCUACAACUGUUAAACUUAAAUACUAGGGAUAUUACAAAACCCUAUUGGACCAAAAAUCCAAAUAGAAAACAAAAUAGACAAAUAAUAAAAUUAUGCUGAAAUAAUAAAAUUUGAUUUUGGGUCUUCAGAUGAAUCCAUGUGGCUUAAAUUAUCAUGCAUCAAUGUAAUGUUAGAUUAAUUAUUUAAUUAAUCAAUUAUGGAUUGACAAUAAUCAAUUAUUAUAAGUUAAUAUUAUAAUAUAAAUUAUGGUCUAUUGAGUUAAGCACUAGUUAGUUGAUGAAUAUGUGUGAUUGGACUAUUCUUUUUAAAUGAACCGUGAUGAGUUGGACCAUUUAGCUAAGCCCAAUGAAAGGUCCCUGCCCUCAGCCGUUUAGCUAUUUAAAUGUCAUCCCAUCAGACGGUUAAACAUUCUGAUCAGUAUGGGGCAAACCUAAACGGAAUGAGGUUAGUCAUCCCUCUCAUAACUUGAUGGCGGUCGUUCAUGAAUCUAAACAUACAAGGUACACAAAUUCUUCUUCCUUCUUUGUUACUGAUAUACUAUAACUUGUAUCUAGUGAUCCAUGGCUACACUCUUAAACUUUAAUCAUGUAAAACAACGAGUUCUACUCUUCCCUUUUCGAAAAGAUAUAAUUUAAGUCAAUCAAACAUCAUAUGCAAAUUUACACUAUUUUCAUUGAACCCUUCUUACGCGUCACUUCGCCUUCAGUACGUGCAGCCAGUCUUCCUAUAUCAAUGUGUUAAGCAUCUCCAUUUAAAAAAUUUACUCGGUUCCUUUCACUCAGAUCAAUUACUUGAAUAUUAUUAUGAAGUCUAUUAUUUUGUUAAAUUAAUAUUGACUUUAAAUACAAAGGUUUAAUAGCAGUUUUCGUCCCCUAACUUUUACGAAGUUGCGAUUUUGAUCCCGUAAGAAAAAAAACUACAAAACCGCCUCCUUAGUUUUGCAACUGUAGCAGUUUUUGCUCCCCAAGACCAAAAAAAUUAAAAAAAAUAACACGCGGCACCUCACUUAGGGUGCCACGUCAGCGUAGACUGAGUCAAAAUUGAUAUCGGGGGCCAAAACUGCUACAGGUGCAAAACUUAGGCGCGGUUUUGUAGUUUUUUUUUAGGGGGCAAAAAUCGUAACUUUGAAAAAGUUAGGGGACUAAAACUGCUAUUAAGCAAUAAUUUUUUUUUAGGGGAACGUUAAAACUAUUGCUGGUUGAUAAAUAUUAAAUCAUCAUCAUUAUCAUUUAUAUAAAGACCAAAUUAGCUUUUGCCAGUUAUGACAAUUUUGUCUCAAUACUCCAAUAAUCUAGCUGGAACAUUUUUUUCCUUUUUGAAUACUGGGAAUCCAAAUAAUAGCUCAAAAAUAUAUUAUUAUUUAUAUUCUGAAUUGGUUGUUAUAGAGUUGUCAUCACUUGCCAUUCUCAUGAUCUUCUUCUUCACAACAGUUAAAGGAAAGUCCACCAAAUUGGGAAUAAAAAGCAUCAAAUAGCACUGGAGUGGGUCAUCCAAUACUUGACUAACUUAAUAUUAUUCAAAACGAGUAAGUUGGUAAAACAGUGACUUAUUAAAAAAGAAAGCUACAAAAGUUACUACAGAGGACACUGAUUCGUUUCUUUGUAUUUGGUUUAGGGAUAAAUUAACCCAUGCAUGUUAAACUAGCUGUAACAAUGUCAGGCAAAAGAGACAAGUUUGGUCAGCAUUUAAUAAAGUUCGAAAACUAGAACAUGUAACAGACUAACAGCUGCUUGCAAAAUGCAAAAUCAUAUAGUACUACCGUCUAAAACUUGUAUGUCAGGUCUAGCUCACCAUUUGAUGACACUUACAUUAGUAUAGUUGAACAUGCAUUUCUAUAAAAGUAUACUGUACAAAUGCAGUUUUUUAACAAGAAAUAUAUUUGGGUAAAUGAUCACUUUAAUCUCAGGUUCUACACCUCGUUAUUACAAAGGUAUCUUAUUCAAGAUUAAAUACAAAAUAGUCUUUGCAUGUGUAGUACCGUUAUCAGUUUAGUCCCUAACGUUAAAAACUUUUGUUAACUGAUGAGGUGGCGUGCAAGAGGUAGUCCAUGUGACACCUCAUGCAUGCUACUUCAUCAAAUAACAUAAGUUUUUAACGUUAGAGACUAAACUGAUAACAGAACUACACAUUCAGAAACUACUAUGUAUUUAAUCUUGAGUGAGAUAUCUUUCUUCCAGCAAAAUGCAUAACCAUGAACCAAAGUAACCAUUUACUCAAUAUAUUUUGGCACAAAAUUUUAACAAAAGAUUCGGCAACAGUUUUGAUGGUUAAAGUAGUCUAAAUACAGGUUAAUUAAGGCGUUGCAAUUCAUUAGUUAUCUAUUUAUAUAUAAGUAAGCACAAUUAUAAAUGUAUAUUUGAACACAAAUUAUGAUUAAUAGAUCUCAUUUAUAUUUGAAUAUCCAAACAAUAUGAAAAUAAGAACAUAAUUUAGAUAGAGGUUGAAUAGCUCAAUUGAUUUUAAUUAAAGGGUAAGGAGUUGGGAGAUCCAUGGUUUAAGUUUCAACAAUGAAAAAAACUAACAUAAUAAUUAACAUAACAACAUUUGACAUCAAGAGAAAAGAGCAUAAUGACAUUCACAAUUUUGAUUGAUUGUGUUCAAUUGAUAUAUUGUUAAUGAGAUUUGAUAUUUUAUUAUAUUUACGAUGACACAAUUUCAGAAAAGGAUUCUCUAGAAUGGAGAUAAAUGGAUUGAAGGGUGGAGAUUUUUCAAGAAAACAUGAGAGAGCAAGACUUAGAGAAUCUCCUCCCCAAAAUUUGGUGUCAAAUAACACAACAAUUUCUUUGUCAUAAUAGGCUCCCAACUAACAUUAUAUUUCUUCCAUACAAUGUAUACUCUAUAUAUAUAACAUAAAGUUUGGUUGUAAAAAAAAAUAAAAAUACGAAAGUUACUCAAAAAAAUUUACUAAAAUUAUUACUUUUUUUUGAAGGAAUACUAAAAUUAUUACUUUUUUUUGAAGGAAUACUAAAAUUAUUACUUGUUUUUUUUUGAAGGAAAAUUAUUACUUGUAGUUAGGACUAAAUUUAGUUGGAUAAUGUUUCAUGAACACCCUUUUCUCUAUACACACAUUGUACCACUUUCAUGUGAUAGUGUUUGAGAGACACAAAAGAUGAAUUUCUUGUGUGUGUAGAGACCACAUGGACACAUGUCACAAUUAUAUGUGGGUGUACAAGUGGUAUAUACCACCUAAGAUGGUUUAUGUAUCACUACCCAAUUUAGUUUGGACACGCACUAUCCUUUUCAAUACAAUAAUCAGUGGGGUAGGUAGGACUAUACCAGGGCUGAUAGUGGUCGUGGUCUCAAUUUUUGUUUUUUGUACUAAAUUUGUUUAAACAAUGAAAUUGUACUAUUAGUUUUACAUUUCAAUUCUCCAAUGCUCCACUCUUUGACAUGGCAAUCACAAUUCUGGCUGCAAAUUAUAUUCAAUGGACUAGGCACCACCAAUGCUAAAUUUCUGGCACUAUCAAUGCUAAAUUUCUGGCUCUGCCCAACCAAUGAUAAAUCACUUACGAUCAAAAUUACAUUUAACAGAAAUUAAUUCUCCUACAUCGCGAUCAAACACACCUUAAAAGACCAUCCACAACAGAGCGGUAAUACUUGAUAAACACCAAUUUUCUCCAACUCAUUCCUCAAAAGAAAUUAUUAACUAGGCCCACAAAUAACCCUAUACCAUUACAUUUUUAACAAAAUUUAUUCAUUUUACAAAGAUUUAUUAAAUGGGACCCAUGAAAAUUGAAGAGUGGGAGGGAGGGUGCUUCCAUAGCCAACCUACUCCAUAAGCACCCAUAUGUUAUACUCCACAAUGAGGGUGCUUAUUUAAUGUGGUGCUAAAUAGGUUAAGCACCCACCAUUUGGAUGGUCUAAUAAGAUUUUAGAGUUUUAGUGUACAAUUUACCAACCGUUGUAAUAACAAGGUGAUCCACUUAGAAAAUUGAUCUUCAGCAUUUUAAAAUGACUCAUUACCUUAAUUCAACGUGAGUUAACUCACGCUCGACAUUUUUCAGCAUGCGUUAACUUGCGCCGGUACUUUUAAGAUCGGUUUAAUAAUUUUUAAGUUGGGUCAAUCGAUUUUAAAAGUGUCAGUGUGAGUAAACUCAUGUUGAAAAAUGUUGAAUGUGAAUUAACUUACGUCGAGAUAAGAGAAUGAGAAAUUUUAGAAGUGAAAAGAGCAAUUUUCUUCCACUUAUUAGCCUAGCAAGCCCAUUUGAAUAAAAGACAAACCCAAUUACAUUAAGGCACAAAUAAACUGUGUAAAGAUUUCAUAAAUACUUGACCAAAAAAAAUAAUUCAUAAAUUAAUAAAAAAAAAGUGUAAAAAAACCCUUUUUUUUACCACAUAAAAUAUACCGUGUAACAAAUACGAUAUGAGUAUGUGUCCAAUUUUUUUCUUUUUUCUUUAAAAAAUAGUGUAACAAACUAGAUCAAAUAUAUGUCAAUAUAAAUAUAAUUAAUAAGAAAAAGAUAAUUAUCAACGAUUCAAUGAGAUAUAAUAUUUACAAAGGAACAAUUACAGAGUAAAAUAAUAACUUUUAUCAUAUUCAUCAUCUCAAAUGUAAGUACUCUUAACAUAUGCGAGAUAAAAUAUUUAUUCUUGGAUAAUUGGUUAUGAAAUCAAGUAGCCAAAAUAAAUUUUUGUAUUUCAAUUUCAUAUAUGGAUCCUUUAUAUAUCUUUUUUUUUCUUCAUAUAUGUUGUUGUUUUACAAUUAGAUGAUGAAUAAACAAAAUAUUUAACUUUCGCCAAAAAUAAUCUCGCAUUCAUGCACUGAUAAAAAAAUUUAAAUUCAUGCAUUCUUCGGUUAAAAAAAAUAUAAAAGGUAAAAAAUUUAAAAACUCAUAGGAUUUAAUUUUUUUUAACCGAAGAAUGCAUGAAUUUUAAUGUUGCUGCGAAACAUGUACCCUGAUAGAUAUGGCAAAUGGAAUAGGACGUAAGUUAUUAUGUUGUGGUUUGUUUAUGAGAUUGUUGGAUGUUGGAAAUCCUAUCAGGAAACAACGAUGGAGAAAGAAUUUUUUUGCCCAUAAUUAAAUUAAAAACGAGUGCGAGUUCGGGACUUCCUUUUGUGCCUGAUAGAAAACUUUUUUUUUUUUUUGUUAGACUAAGUUUUGCUAUUACCAUAAAUAAGUCACAAGGGCAAACCAUUUUUAAUGCUGAAAUCUAUAUUCCACAACAUGUUUUCAACCAUGGUCAAUUAUAUGUAGUUUUAUAAAGAGGAAAUUUCUCAAAAUUCAACAAAAGUUCUCAUUAAAGUAAGAAAAAUACAACGAGAAAAUGAAGACUUUACAAAAAUAUAAUUUUUAAAGAUAUUCUUUUAUAGCAGUCAUAUGAUUUUUCCUUCACAUAACAAGUCAUUUAUGCAUUUAUGUUAUCAUUUUACUAAUUAUUAUUAUAAUAACUAUUAAAUGAUCGUUAUUUAUUUUAUUUUGUAUACAGACAAACAAAAAUACAUUGAGUUGAUAAAUAAUUUCAUGUGGAUAAAAUAUUACUAUUUUUUCACGUGGAUUGAGAUUAAGUGAUUUUAAGAUGGAAAAAUCACGAUGACUUUAAUGUGAUUUUGUGUAUUUUAUAAGAGAGAAAAAUAAAUAUAAAUUGACAUCAAUAUUUGAAUAUGCUCAAAGCUUUGCUAAGAAAUAUGUACAAUUUUUCUCUUUUUAGGAGUGUGACAAACAGGUUAAUAUUGAUAUGAAAAACAACUGCUUUAUGUUUUGAAUCAACACAACAUGAAUGUGAUAUUAACAUUGGGACCUUUAAUGAGGUAAUUAAUAAGGUGAAUAGAAUCAAACUAACAAACAAGCUUAUCAACUUUUAUAUCUUUACCCCUCAAAAAAAAAAAAAAACUUUUAUUUUUUUUUGACCAAAAUAAGACCAUGAUAAAUAGCAUAUUACUCAGCAAGCAUAAUGCCAUUGAAAAUCAUUGUUAAAUCAUUAUUAAUAUGAGCUUAAUUUCAUUGAACUCUAAUAAACACAUGGAGUAUAAUUGAACCUAAUUUAUGCAACAUCAUUUAGAUGAAGUCCACAAAUAUACGAUUUGGACAUGAUACUUUAUAAGUCACGUCACAAGAUCUUUAAAAAAAAAUAAAAAAUAAACUCAUGUCACAAGUUCCUUUGAGCCAAUUACAACAGAACGAGAUUUUUGCUUAGGUGAAUAAGAGAACCCAUUAGAGAAUUCCAUAACAGAAUUAUAUCUUCGAUAAUCAAUUUUGUCUGCAUAAUCAUCAACCCUUGAAUUAGAAGAUUGUUCUCCAUGGUAGUUGUAGUGCCCUUGAGCAGCUCCUAAUGAAAGACAUUCAUGUUUCCUUCUACUUUUCCUUUUCCUUUUAAUUACCCUUAAAAUCAUAUGCAGAAGACCCUGUAUAAUAUGUAUAUCACAACCUUAAUUCCUUCCUUCGUGAAGAAUAAUAAUAAGUUCAAAAUGAGAAAAGGAGAGAAACAAGAGAAUGUUGGUUUUUAGAAGCUUUUGAAAAUGGAUAAUUAUAGGUAUUUGAUGGAAAAUUAGCAAUUGUACUAACUUAUAUCGAAGUAAUAAAAUUUAUAAGAUUCGUAUCUAUAGGGACUGUUUCAACUUCUACUCGAGAAUGUCAUUAUUAUUAAGGAUGUUUGUAAAAUGGGGGGUGCACUGAGGCAAUUGGUUUGAUUUGCAAGUUAAAAUAAAAUGGUUAAGGUAAAAUUGGUUUGAGAAAUAACAUGGAGAGAUGACCAGGUCAUUCGAUUCAUCUGCUCAUCGCUCAUUAGCAACUUGUUUCUUAAGUCUACAAAUGUUAUAAAGUUUACGACAAAUUAACAAAAUAACUUAGGUCAAUCCCUUGAUCCUAAGUCCUCUUUUCUGAUUAUAAUUCCCUAAUCCCUUAGGUGAACCUAUAAUCAUAAAAGGUUUUAAGUCCGUUAAUUUAAGCAUCACAACCUAACAACGCACCAUCCCUAGAUUGUCCGUUAGAUUGAACAUUAUAAAUAUGUCAGAGUUUUACGCUAGUGUCAGUGGUCAUAUAUACUCUAAAAUCAAUUAUAUUGGGUCAAAAUCAUAAAAGCAUUAAGAACAAUUUAUACUGAAUAAACUAGAAUGACAUUCAUAAAGAUUAAGAGUUACAGGUUACAUAAACAUGAGCUAGAACAAAAUCAUCUCUUGACCUAAUCACAAAGGAUCUAGCUACUCAUGGCUAAAGCACAAAUAACUAAUAUGAAAGAAGGAUUCAUUACAUGAAAUUGGCAACCGGAUAUGAGUUUUGAUGGUCUCCCACCUUCUCUCCAGCUCCAAAAGUCAGUUUCUUUCUCCAAAAUUACCAACCCUUCCUUCAGAAAACAACUUCCCUUUCAUAGGAAAAUUUCCAGAAACGCUAAAAUCGUACUCCGAUGCUGUAAAUCGGAGCACGAUGGCUUCAUUAAAGUCAGAUCCUACCUGGAGUGUCUGCCAAAUCGUAGCCCGAUUUUCAUAAAUCGGAGCACAAUUUUUUACGAGACAAAAUGUCUCAAACUUGCAGUAAAAUCGUAGCCCGAUGCUGUAAAUUGGAGUACGAUUUCUUCUUUGUUUGCCAACAUCAAAUGUUUAAUUUGAAGCUUCUAUCUCAUGCAAAAUCACCUGAACUCUCAAAAGUACAUAAAAACCAAAAUAAAAGUAUGUAUGACCUAGUGUCAUCAGUAGUAGUAUAAAUAAAUGAUAUGAUGACAUGUUUUGUGUGCCAAGAAGAACAAUGUAACACAUUAAUUUAGUUAAUAUAAGUUUCGACUGAGCUAGUAGGGCAUGGUGCAUGCAAGUUAGUCAAAUAAAAUGAACUGUUUGACUUUUUCGGAAGAAGUAGCAAGUUAGUUAUUUUUAGGACUAUUUGACUUUUUAUUUGGACUAUCUGUAAUGUGUUAUGUGUACAGAUAAACUAACAAACAACUAUGGUCUUAUUUUAGGAAAAUGUCUUUUUCUUCUUAAACCUUGUUAUUCCACAAAAAAUCUCCUACCAUGAAGGUAAUGCAAGAGCCAAUUUGGUUUGUAUCAAUGUCUCACAUGUAAUGUUUUGAUCAUGAAAAAACUAAGGAACAUCAUCUAAUGUUGCAACAUCAACAACAUAUAUACAAGAACAAUUUAUCUACUAACUAUGUGUGUAAGUGUGCAGAAUUUCAUUUUUAAGUUGAACUCAAGAUUGUUAGGAGAUCCAACAAUGACAUGAUAAGGAUUUCCGAGAACAAAACAAUUGGUCAAGUUGAAUCAAAUUAAAGAUGAAGCAUCCUUUGGGUCAAUGGAAGUCAACGGGAAAGAUGAAGUAUCAUCCGGAUCGAACGUUGCUCAAGAAUAUUUUUUCAAUCACUAAUUUUGAUCCAUGCUUUUAAAUCAACUCAUGUCUAUCAUUAGAUAUUUUGACUUUCUUUCGCACUAAUAUUAUACAAUCUCUUACAAAUAUUAAGUCUUUUUAACAAAUAUGAAGUUUCUUUUUUAUGUUUUUUGCGUUUAAAAAUUCAUAUUUUGAUAAAAAAAAAAAAAAAACUAUUUUUUCUUGGCAGACAUUCUUAUACUAUUCUAAACAUUCAUAAAAAACUCAUUCAAAAUUUUGAUUAAUACAUAUGAUUUGACUUAAAAGCAGAAUUCAAACAUGGUGAUUGAAAACUUUUCGAAGACUAAAAGUUAAAGAAAUUUUUUAGCUUAAGUGAAACGAAAAGUAUGAAUAUUUAUUGAGACCCAAACAUAUUUAAUCCUAAAAACAAAUACUAGUUUAACAGUAUAAGAAUCGAUUAGAACAAGCAGAUUAAACUUUGGGAAUCGACUUUUUUUUAUUUUUUAUUGAGAGGUUAAGGAAUCAACAUCAUGUAGACAUUAUCCUUAAAAAAAAAAAAAACAUCAAGUAGAUAUUAUGUAUCGAUUUUUACAUGAUACAUAUCACAAACAAUAAACUUAAAUCAAUAUAGGAUGGAAAAAAUAGAUUGGGCACUAACCUCCGGACAUUGCAAUGUCAAAUUAAGAUUUCUCACCAUAAAUGCUGAUCUUUUUUGUUUUCCAAACCCUUACUCAAUCAGUAUGGUAUAGUUUUUUUUUUGUGCAACAAUUGUAUUAUGAUACGUUACAGAGGGCCUCAUUUUAAAAAAUAUGUUGUCUAGAGGCUUUACCAGACUACAUAGUAAACUGCCUACGGUUGGAAGAGAACUUAGAAACCAAUUGUGCUCGAGUAAAAAAAUCUCAAUAUCAUAUUCGUUUAGAAGAAAGACAGAAAAUGUGCUUUCAUCAUGGUCUUAGAGAACGACAAUUCUUAAAUAUGUUUGUAUCGUUGGAAAAGUGAAAGGUUCAACCGGUCAAGUUUUUACUACAAUUGGAUAACAUACCUUUUCGAUUGGGUAUGGCUUCGACUAUUCCUCAAUAGAGUUGUCCAUCACAAAGUUCAACUGUGUGCGUUACAUAGCGGGAUUUUUAUUUUGCACUUGAGAGUUAUUAAAAAAAUCGCUAAGAUAGAGCUUAUGUGAGGGUAGAAAAUACAACAACUAAUCUCCUACAAGCUUAUCCAUUAUCGACUAAUUUAUCCACUCUCUUCGAUAAACUCAUUUUCUCCAACUAACUUAUCAUAUAUCCGCUAUUUUUAUUUCUUCUCCAAACAGACCUUUAACAUUCAUAGAUCCAUCAAGAAGGUUUUCUUGUCGUCCCUAGCCGCGCUCUUGGAGCUCUACAUAUCACCUAUAAAUGUGAACUACUUGAGAUACUUCUAAUAAAUUAAUUAACUUCUUUAAUUGAUCAACACAAGUCAUAUAUUUUAACAAAUUCUAAGUUGAUUAUAAUUGAUUAACCUGAAUGAUCAAAUCGAAUUAUUCUCUAACAAAUACCAAAAAUAGUAGCAAAUAGUUAGCGGUAAUCAGAGACAUUAUCAAUACACCACACAAACACACAAUGAUAAAGUCAGAUAUUCAUUCCUCCAUAUAACAAAAAUAACAACUAACAUUGAUAUUUGAAAGAAGAAAAACGCACACAAUUGAAAUAGAAUAAAGUAGGUGGAAAAACCUCUAGUUUUUUUUAGUAAUAGGAAACAAAAAACCCUAGUCACAAGAAGUUACACAUAUAACAUAAUAACAUAAAAAAAUACUAGUUUGAUUCAUCACGUACAUCAUUUAGUCCAAUAAGACAUUAUCUUUUGAUGUUGAAUAUGGAUUCAUCAAUUUCACCAGCUUCUUCCUUCUUUUGUUAUUGUCAUUCUUCAAUUUUGUUUCAUCAAUGUCACCAACAAGACCACUAGUACUAGGUAGAACAUUCUCCUUCUUAUCUUCAUUAUCCAAAUCCUCAUCGAAGGUGUCAUGUAAAUGUUUAUCUGUUGACAUAUACACGAGUAUUUGAGCAGCAAUAACAACUUCACCACUCGAACGGCCUCUUUUACAGGUUUUAAACAAUCUUCGUGGCCAAGAUUUUGAUUCCUCAUCAAUAACCAAUUCCUUGGAAUUGAAUGCACUAAGAAAAUAUUGAUCUUGAUCAUAAUCAUGAUAAUCAAUAUUAUUAUCCUUAUUAGGGUUCAUACCCCGCCAUUCCCUUUCAGGAUGAGAUCUCAUGUGACCAUGUAAAGCCUUAUUGGAUUGGAAGUUCUUUUUGCAAACAUCACAACUUAAUUUUACAUCAUUAGAAUUGCAAUUAGCCUCUGCUUUCGACUCACCCUCUUUCCCUAGGGCUUGACUAUGGAUUCUUUUGUGACCACCUAAUCCUUUUCCACACCUAAAAAUUUUGUUACAUAAUUCACACUUGUGAAUUUUUGAACUUGUUGAUCCUUCAUCAUGAUGACGACCCUUUGGUUUUUCAUAAACUUUACAAGACUUAGAAAUUGAUGCUAAGCUUUUCUUCUUCUCUAUGGCUUUCAUGGAAUUUGCCCUAGUAUUCUAUUCAAAGAAAACAAUAAAAAAAAAAUUAGAAAAUUAAGUUACACUUAAAUAAAGAAUAUUUAAUAUAAAGGAAUGAGCAUAGAAAUUACCUGAUGUAUCCUACCAACAUCAAACUUAUUAUUAUUCUUCUUUUGGUCAUUGGGAUCCAUUGUGAAGUGAAAAUUAAGAUGUAUACGUAGUGUAUAGAAAGGAGGUGAUGAGAGGAGAGGGUUUAAUCUUAAGAUUUAAGAAAACCAAGAUUUUAUAUUUUACUAAUAUAAUGAGGAAUUAAGUGAUUUUUGCUCAUGUUCAUAAAAAAAAAGUGAUUUUACCUGAAGAGUAAUUUUUUGGGUGCAUAAAAAAAUUGAUUCAUUUCAUCUUUAUUUCUUGCUAAAAUUAAAUAAAUUGAUAUUUGAUUUUUCAACGAUUUUCCACGAUCCUGGUGUUUUUUAAAAGCAUUCCUUGAUCCUAGUAUCUUUCUCAAUUACUACAUUACUAAAUUUAGUUACAAAUUGCCUCAAUAUUAUUUUAUUUUUUUAUAUAAAAUGGUAGUCCACAUGUCGCACAGAUGGUUAAAUUCUUUUAUUUUGUUGAGCUUAACUCAGUUGGUAAGGACAAUGCAUAAUAUAUGCAAGGUUCAGGGUUCGAAUCUUGGACACCACAAAAAAAAAACUUUUAUUUUGUUAACCUUUUGGUUUAUGAGAGAAAUGACCUAAUAUUCCGUCGUAUUUGGUAUUUGGUCUGCGAUAUAAGGUAAGUAAAGUUUGAUUAGAUAUUUUCUUUCUUUCUUUUCUUUUUCUUGGAGAGGGAGGAUUUAUUUAUAUAUUAUAUAUAUGAUGUUUCAUUUAUUAAUUUUUAAAGAUUUUUUAUAAAAUAAAAAAUCUUAAGUUUAGGAAUCAAAUUGCGUCAAAAAAAAGUUGAGGUGUUAAAUUGGAUUUGAUCAAUAAAAAAAGGAAUUAAAUUGGUUUAUAUUAUUAAUAUUUUUUGGAGAGAUUUUGUUUUUUAUAUUUAAAUUUAUGCUUAAUGAAGAAACGUAUUAUUAUUUAUUCCACUUUUUCUUGGUUUGACAUAGGCAAGAAAAUAUGAGUGAAUUCCAUCUAUAUUUUUAUUUUAUUUUAUGAUGUGAUCUGAUUUCAUCCUAAAUAUACAGUUUUUUUUUUUUUUUUUGUCUUUGUAAUUUUUUUUUCAGCCCGUAACUCCUUACAAAUAUAUGUCACAUUUUAGUUUUGGUUUUUUAUUUUUUUGAGGUAUUGGUUUGUUUUAUAUGCAGAAAGAAAUGAGUGAAUGUUGUUGUGAUUUAUUCUUCCGCUAGAGAUUGGUUUUAAAUGGUGAAGGUACAAUAAAUUCUCUACCUUGAAUCAAGGAGAGAAUAAUUACAAAGAUGAAAAAGGAAACAAUAGAAAGCAUUUAGAACUUCUAGAAAUACCUAGAAAUAAUUAAAAAAAAAAAGGCUUAAAUGCAAUUUUACCCCCCCUAUUUUGAUUGAAUCUGAAUUUUACCUCCCCUAUUUUAAAACUCGGAAUUUUACCCCCUCUAUUUUGAUUGAAUCGGGAUUUUGCCUCCCUUAUUUUAAAACUCGGAAUUUUACCCCCUCUAUUUUACGUUUUUUUAGAAUUUUGCCCCCUAUUUUAAAAUAAAGAACAAAAAAAAUACUAAAAAAAAUAAAGAAACGAUUAGAAAAUAUUAAUUUGGUAAAAAAAUAUAAAGAAAACACAAAAAAAAACUAAAAAAUAAAAAAACAAUGAAAUUACAAGAAAAAAUUAAAUUAAGAAUACAUGAAAAAACUAGUUUGCACCUCUAAAUAUUUGUUAUUUUCAUGUAUCUUAAUACUAGUUUUUUAUUUUAUUUUUAGAGAUCAUACUAGUUUUAUGCAUUUUUUAAGCCUUAAUUAUUUGUAUUAAAUGUUUUUUAAUGAAAAAAUAAAAAUAAAACCAAAAAAAUACUAAAAAAAUGAAUAGAAAAUACUAGAAAAAAUGCAUAAAACUAGUAUGAUCUCUAAAAAUAAAAUAAAAAACUAGUACGAAAAUACAUGAAAAUAGCAAAUAAUUAGAGGUGCAAACUAGUUUUUUCAUGAAUUCUUAAUUGAAUUUUUUCUUGUAAUUUCAUUGUUUUUCUAUUUUUUAGUUUUUUUUUGUUGUGUUUUCUUGUUUUUCUUAUAUUUUUUUACCAAAUUAAUAUUUUCUAAUCGUUUCUUUAUUUUUCUAGUAUUUUUUGGUUCUUUAUUUUAAAAUAGGGGGUAAAAUUUUGAAAAAGGUAAAAUAGAGGGGGUAAAAUUCCGAGUUUUAAAAUAAGGGGGGUAAAAUUCCGAGUUUUAAAAUAGGGGGGGUGAAAUUCAGAUUCAAUCAAAAUAGGGGGGGUAAAAUUGCAUUUAAGCCAAAAAAGAAAAUUAAAAAUGCACAAAGAUUCUCCAACACAACCCCAUCAUGCCAACUUGAUUAGCAUUGUUGUAUCUUAUUAAGAUUUUGGUUAGGGUAUCCGCAAUUAGCUAACUAGAAAUCACAAAAGAUAGAUAUAUGAUUCCAAUAUCUAAUUUUUCUUUAUGAAAUGUUCAUCAAUCUCGAUAUACUUUGCAAUAUCAUGUUUCGAAUUGGGUCAAGGCCCAUUUUCUCAACAAAUUGGGUAACCUCAAGUCACUAUCGUUUGUGCAAACCAUGACAUGGACUUGCCCUAAAUCCCUUGAACUAAGAUAGGAUAAACUAAUCUCAUUCGUCAUUACUGAUAUCUGAAUAUGCUCACAUGUGUCCUCUUAUAACAUAUGUACGAAUAAGCUAGUAAGGGUUAGAGGACUCACAAACUCAAAUCCCUUACUAUAAAGGUUAACUCGUGACCUCUUUUCAGGUACACAUUUUUUUACCCAUAAAAAACUCACAUAAUUUAUGUUUUCUUACUUGAUCGUCAAAGUGUUUACAAAUACACCACCCCCUUAAAAAUCAUAGUAGUUUGCUCAACUAAUAUUGCCGUAAAAAGGUUUCUACUAUUGUUUGUCUUCAACAUUUUGGAGCCCCUAUUUUAAUCUUGGGUCUUCAAAAUUAAUAUAUAUGCAAAAAUUUGAACCAUAAAAAUUGGUAUCUUAAUGCUCAAAAUUUGACAUUUAUUGAUAUAAUUAAAUUCAAAAUUCAAAUUUAAAUAAUAUUUAAAAUACUUAAAUAUUUCUAUUUAAUGUUUUUUUUAUAAUUUUGGGUCCCACAAUUUGGAGGCCCUGUGCAAUAGGGCUGCUUAAUCGGCUCUGGUAUAACAUUUCAAACUGACUUUCCUCCAAAAAAAUAAAAUGAAAGCUAUUCUUUCGGCUAGAGCAUUAAAAUCAUUUAAUAAUUUAAUAAUAUUAUUAAAGAGUUACUUAUUAAUUGUUGCAGUUAAAAUAAUCAAAAUUGUUGGCAAAUUUGUUAAUUAAUGUUUUGUCUCGCAAAAAAUUGAAUCAAUCAAAUCAACCUAAACCGGCAUAAUUUUGGUUGGAUUUUUUUUAAAAGCGAACCUAACCAAAUCAAAGCGUGUGCUUUUAUCUUCAGUUCAGAUGACGUUUAGUCUAAAAACUAAACUGCACCACAAACAUCCCUAAUCUUGAUUAUAAAAAAAAAACUUUCAAUUGUAUGAUAAAAUAAAAUUAAAGAGCAAUGAUAUACAUCAUGAAUGAUUUUAUAGCAAAUGAGUCACGAAAUGCAAUCCGGCUAAUUAAAGUAUAGUUGCUGGCAGGAAAACAUUGGUCUACGCUCAAAUUUAUUUAUUUAUGGAGAAUGAUAACUAGUGCUCCAAGGGCAUUUAUGGAAUAAAGUUUUAAUAAAAAGUACUACUAGUAUAAUUAUUACUUGGUCAAAUGUAAUAUCUUACAUUUCCAGGAUAAAACUUUUACUUUUGAAUUCUUUAAUCAUUGCCCUUAGGACACUUAUCAACAAGAGAUUUGUUUGUUUAUUUAUUUUAAAUAAAUAUGAAAUCCAAUGGCAUGAAGUUGCCAACAAAUUCGCAAACCCUUUGAUCUCCAUUUAUAUAAGUGAGAUAUAAUGGACUAACAUCGACUUUUGUUUACAUGCGAAGGGAACCCAAUACACCACAAUAACUUGUACAAUAAGAUGAAUCAUACUAUCAUAUAACUUAUUAUGCCACAAUGCCACAUCUCUCAUUGUUUUGCUUUUGUCUUCAUUUUCAUUUCAACUCUAUUUUCUAUAACUUACCAUUUCUCAACCACCCCCAUGUAAUCCUACCUUGCAAAGCUACAUUUAAAGCCAUUCUAUAUUAAACCUCCUCAAAUUCAGAGAUAAGUAGCCCCUUUUAAGAGCAAUUUGCUAUAGCACAAGAUAAACAUAUGUACAAAUGUUAUCGUCCCAGGCCUCCACUUACGACACAUAAAACGGGGUUACGGGACUUAUGUUAAUGGAUCCUUUAAAUAAAUAUAUCGUUAUGCAUGGUUCAUGGUUAAUAGAGUUUUGUGUUGUUAAUUACAAUUUUCUCUUCUUUUAUUUUUUUGGCUUUUAGUGAGGAGAUGGCAACAAACCAAAGUGUUUUUUGUUCAAGUUUUGAUGAAUAAAAUGAGAACGAUGUUUUGGGGAAAGGAAAAAGUGAUAGCUCUAAUAGUCAUUGUAGUUGUUUAUCAACCUAAGGGAAUAACUUGGAAUAAUUUGCAUUGCAAAGCUCUAUUGAAGGAAUUGACAAGUUGAUAAAUGAAUGAAUCAAAUGUUAAGACGUGACUUAAAGUUCAAAAAUGUUUCAUUAAUAUCCACUUUCGUACACAUGCGACAUCUUGAUAAUCAUGUGUAAGAGUGUCGUUAAUCAUAUAGUUAAUUAGCUAUAAUUUUAACCAUGAAUUAAAUUAACUAUCUACUCAACUGAAUUAACAAAAUUUUGAACAUGAUUAACCAGAUAUCACAAAGGUGUUAAAGUGGUGUCCACGUAUCAUCAUUGCUUAAAGUUUUGGUAACAAAGGAAUCCAAGUUAAUUUUAUUGAUUGUUGAGCGUUGUAGUAAAAACUAAAAAAAAAUAGUUUUUUUUCUUCAGAAAAUUGUAAAGAAAGUUAUAAUGGAAUUAUGUUGAAGAAUUUAUUUCUUUUCAAAAACAAAAAUAAUCAAGAGAGGCACUAAUUGAGGUGUAGCAAUCACAAAUUAAUGUAGUUUUGUUGAAUGCCAUAGAUGUUAUAUAUUUUAGUAUGCAUGGACAAUUCUUAAUUAAGAAAGUUAACUAAAACUAGAAAAAAAGUGACAAACAUAAACUUAAGUUUGAUGAUAACUUGCAUCUUAUCCUAUCUGUACCUGUCACACAUCUUAAAUACUCCUGCUACAUAUUGCUCAAAAAUUAUAUUUAUCUAACCAAAAUUACCAGUCAAGUAUUUAAUUCAUACUUUAUGAAUUUCAACUGUAAUAUAUUGUUGAUUCAGAUACAGAAUGUUAACAUCAACAUCAACUAGGUUGUUGGUACAAACCUUUUACAACUUUUACUUUUUACUUUAAAUGAUGAACAUUUUACAAGUCAAAAAGCAGUCAUAUAUUACAGAAACUUUAAUAGGUAUCCAAAGUUUGCAAGGGCACAAAAGUUAACACUGCAUAACAUUUACUAACACAUAAGAUUAUAGUAAAUAAGUAAAAGUUACUGAACUUACAAAACAUAUAUAGUACUAAUAAUUAAUUAAAAUCAUGCUUCAAUUUCAAACCUUGAGUACUUGAUGGAUCCCAUUGAUAAAUCAAUCUCUAUAAAGUUUUCUUCCUCAUUCACUUCAUUUAAUUCUGAUAACAACUCCAUUAGACUUUGUUGACUGAAAAGUGCAUCACCAAAUAACUCCUUUUUCUUCUGCUGCAAACUAUAGUAAUCUGAUUCAUCUUUCUGCAUAUUCACAUAGUUUCCACUUGGAAGUGCAAUUUCAAUGAGACUUUCUUCAUCAGAAAUUGAUCCAUCUGAGUAAUCAUGGCUAUGAUCUACUUCAGAUCCUUCAGAAGUUGACAAAUGAUCUUCUUGGCUUUCACUUUCUGAUCCAUCAAUAUUAACUUCUUCUUGUGCUUCAUUUUCUUCAUUACUUUUCUCAUCAUCUGAAUUCAGAAACUUUUCUUCUACUAAUUUAUCAACAUUUACUUUUCUUUGCUUUGAUACAAUAAUAAUAUAGAGAAAAGUAGAAAAAACUAUUACCAUAGAUGUGUAGAGCAAAGAUAAAAAACCAUAUCCAACCAGAAGGUAACUGGAAAAAAGAAGCAAUAAAGCAAAAAGAGCCAUCCAUGAAGAUGAGCAAAUAGAGCAAAAACUCUUGAAUAUGCAAAAAUCAUAAGAAAACAUUUGAUUACAAGCUUUGCUUUCACACCCCAUAAUAAAUGGCAAAAAGACUACUAAUUAGUUUGUGACCUGCACAAAAUGUAAUUAAUUGUGUAAAGAGAAACAAAUGAAAAUAGUUAAUGAUGAUGUUAAUAAUAACAUAUAAGACUUUUAUCAACUUAGAUUAGAUCAAAAGGGUGUAACCAAAAAAAGAUUAGAUCAAAAGGGUUUUUAGAAAAAGGUGCAAUUAAGGUACUUUUAUUUUUUUGGUAGUAAUGCUACUCUUUAAUUUAAUCUUGUAUUUUUUUUCCUAACUCAAAGUGGAUAAGUCUUAUUACUUCACUACUUCACAUUGAUAUGUUUGAAAGAAGCAAGAAAAUGUAAUCUAAAGAGAAAGGGUUUGCUAGCUAUGGUUAAAGCAACUGAAGAGUAACAAUAGAUACUUGUAAUGAAAAAUAUUAUGAAGUUUUUGUUAUGAAAAAGAUCACAGUUCCCAAGUUUUGCAUUGGACCAAAAAAAGGGGUAAAAAGAAAGGGUUUUCAUUAUUAUAAUGAGCAAUUUGUCACACUAAUUUGGUUGUUUUUUCUGUAACUUAACAGAUUCUAUUGAAAAAUUUUCCCAAACCCUUACCACUAGUUUACUUCCUUGUACUAUUAUUUUUGUUUAAUAGCUUUGGAAUGUG
rnacentral:lncRNA from 1 species